rnacentral:rRNA from 1 species
GGGAGGGGAGCAAGCGUUGUUCGGAUUUACUGGGCGUAAAGGGCGUGUAGGCGGCCUUGCAAGUCGGGGCGUGAAAUCCUCUGGCUCAACCAGAGAACUGCACCCGAAACUGCUAGGCUUGAGUAUAGGAGAGGAAAGCGGAAUUCCUGGUGUAGCGGUGAAAUGCGUAGAUAUCAGGAAGAACACCAGUGGCGAAGGCGGCUUUCUGGCCUACUACUGACGCUGAGGCGCGAAAGCCCGGGGGAGCGAACAGGAUUAGAUACCCUGGUAGUCCCGGCCGUAAACGUUGGGCACUAGGUGUAGGGGGUAUCGACCCCCUCUGUGCCGAAGCUAACGCAUUAAGUGCCCCGCCUGGGGAGUACGGCCGCAAGGUUG